rnacentral:rRNA from 1 species
CCCUGCCAUUUGUACACACCGCCCGUCGCUGCUACCGAUUGGAUGGUCCGGUGAGAACUCUGGAUUGUGAUCGAUGUGCCGGUCUCCGGUGCUUGAUUGCGAGAAGUUGAUCGAACCUUAUCAUCUAG